rnacentral:rRNA from 1 species
ACUCCUACGGGAGGCAGCAGUGAGGAAUAUUGGACAAUGGGCGCAAGCCUGAUCCAGCCAUGCCGCGUGCAGGAUGACGGUCCUAUGGAUUGUAAACUGCUUUUAUACGAGAAGAAACACUCCUUCGUGAAGGAGCUUGACGGUAUCGUAAGAAUAAGGAUCGGCUAACUCCGUGCCAGCAGCCGCGGUAAU